UAAGAAACUAUGUUGCGUGAAAUUUGGCAGAAAUAUAAAGCAAUAGGUCAGUUUUCGAAUCACAAUGUUAGAAUCAGGUUUGGAAUGAAAUUUACUUAAAUAUUAUAUUUUAAAAAAAUUAGUUUGAAAUACGUAAUUUUAAUGUGUAGUUUGGAAAGCCAUCAAUAGAUGGCGCUACGAGUUAAAAUUUAGCAUUGUAAUCUUAUUUCUGCAAAAAUUCACGAAGUAAUUGAUUUUGAUAUCAGUUAUAAAUCAUAUUUUUUUCUAAAUAAUAUUUAGAAGCGUUUCAUAUAUUCCUUUAUACACAGUUUUCACUAAACAGUGUCAGCUGUCAGCGGAAUGACGUUUACGGCAACCCUAUUGCAUUGCUAUUCCGCACUCGUUUUGUUUACAUUUAUUUGUACUGUGGUCAGUUAGCAAAAAAUAUGCGAAAAUAUCAAGGACGACCGAAAAAACAUCCUGGUUUUAAUAAAAGAUCCAGAAUUCAGCGAAACGUCGAGCUCAAGAAAAAAAUAUGAAAUUAAAUUCCCGAGAUGUGGAAGAUUCCGAACAAGCGGAUGUUUUCGAAAGGUGAGAAAUAAUUUAUUCUUUAUAUCGACUACCUCGUGUUUAUGAUUUCGUAGUAAGUUAAUUCCGAAGUAAAAUAUGCGUAUUUUUUUUUAUUGAAGGUCAGAAAUUAUUGAUACAACUGCAUCUGUGUCAAAGAAGAAUCAUUGCCCGGAUGAUUUUUUUUACAAAGUCUGGAAGUGAAAAAUUUGACUUUUCUACACCAGAAGUUACAGCUAAUGUUCCUAAGACAAACCAGGCUUUCUUGAGUUCUGAUCUGGACAUUUCAGUUAUUGACUCUGACGUAGAAGGUAGAAAUACAAGCUCUCUUUUGGGGUGUAAAUUUUGUGCAUGAUUUGGCUUUCAUUGAGACGUCUCUGGGUAAGGAGUUACUAAGGAAGAGAAACUUACAUGCAGGUUGAAGCAUGCAGUGUCAAAUGUAUAAGGAAUAUAAAAGAUG